rnacentral:tRNA from 1 species
ACCCCUGUAGCUCAGUUGGUAGAGCGGUCAUGAUAAUGCUGAUAGGUCGCAGGUUCAAGUCCUGUCAGGGGCG